rnacentral:rRNA from 1 species
GCGUGAGAAUCUGCCCUCAGGAGGGGGAUAACGACUGGAAACGGUCGCUAAUACCCCAUAUGCCGCGAGGUGAAAUGAAUUUCGCCUGAGGAUGAGCUCGCGUCUGAUUAGCUAGUUGGUGGGGUAAAGGCCUACCAAGGCAUCGAUCAGUAGCUGGUCUGAGAGGAUGAUCAGCCACACUGGGACUGAGACACGGCCCAGACUCCUACGGGAGGCAGCAGUGGGGAGUUUUCCGCAAUGGGCGAAAGCCUGACGGAGCAACGCCGCGUGAGGGAUGAAGGCCUCUGGGCUGUAAACCUCUUUUAUCAAGGAAGAAGAUCUGACGGUACUUGAUGAAUAAGCCACGGCUAAUUCCGUGCCAGCAGCCGCGGUAAUACGGGAGUGGCAAGCGUUAUCCGGAAUUAUUGGGCGUAAAGCGUCCGCAGGCGGUCUGUCAAGUCUGCUGUUAAAGCGUGGAGCUUAACUCCAUUUCGGCAGUGGAAACUGACAGACUAGAGUGUGUAGGG